rnacentral:rRNA from 1 species
GACGAACACUGGCGGCGUGCUUAACACAUGCAAGUCGAACGGAAAGGCCCUGCUUUUGUGGGGUGCUCGAGUGGCGAACGGGUGAGUAACACGUGAGUAACCUGCCCUUGACUUUGGGAUAACUUCAGGAAACUGGGGCUAAUACCGGAUAGGAGCUCCUGCUGCAUGGUGGGGGUUGGAAAGUUUCGGCGGUUGGGGAUGGACUCGCGGCUUAUCAGCUUGUUGGUGGGGUAGUGGCUUACCAAGGCUUUGACGGGUAGCCGGCCUGAGAGGGUGACCGGCCACAUUGGGACUGAGAUACAGCCCAGACUCCUACGGGAGGCAGCAGUGGGGAAUAUUGCACAAUGGGCGGAAGCCUGAUGCAGCAACGCCGCGUGCGGGAUGACGGCCUUCGGGUUGUAAACCGCUUUCGCCUGUGACGAAGCGUGAGUGACGGUAAUGGGUAAAGAAGCACCGGCUAACUACGUG